rnacentral:rRNA from 1 species
CCCUUAGAUGUCCUGGGCUGCACGCGCGCUACACUGGAAGUUACGGAUUGAGAUACUACCUUGUCCGAAAUGGUCCGGGUAAUCACCUAAAAGCUUGUCAUAAUUGGAAUGGAUUAUUGUAACUAGUAAUCCUGAACGAGGAAUUCCUAGUAAGUCCCAGUCAACAGCUGGUACUGAUUACGUCCCUGCCCUUUGUACACACCGCCCGUCGCUACUACUGAUCGGACGUUUAAGCAAGAUUUUUAAACACUGACAGUGUGUAGUUCACGCUAUACUACAGUGAGAAGAAGAAGAUCGAGCUUACUUGUCUAGAGGAAGUAAAAGUCGUAACA